rnacentral:tRNA from 1 species
CGGAUGAUACUUCCGAAUGGA